UCCCAGGUAGCUUAAUGGUAAAGCACCCAACCGGCAAUUGGGGGAUCUGGGUUCAAUUCUCGGUCAGGGCU
rnacentral:tRNA from 1 species